GAUGAAGAACGUAGCGAAAUGCGAUAAGUAGUGUGAAUUGCAGAAUUCAGUGAAUCAUCGAAUCUUUGAACGCACAUUGCGCCCGUUAGCAUUCUAGCGGGCAUGCCUGUCCGAGCGUCAUUUCAACCCUCAGGGUCCCCGUUCCGGCGGGGAACCUGGUGUUGGGGAUCGGCCCGCCCCGCGCGGCGCCGUCCCCCAAAUUCAGUGGCGGUCUCGCUGCAGCCUCCCCUGCGUAGUAGUUACAACCUCGCAUCGGAGCUCAGCGCGGCCACGCCGUAAAACCCCCGACUUUCUGAACGUUGACCUCGGAUCAGGUAGGAAUACCCGCUGAACUUAAGCAUAUCAAUAAGCGGAGGA
rnacentral:misc_RNA from 1 species